rnacentral:siRNA from 1 species
GGCGGUAACCCUUCUGAGCUACAUGAUAUGGGGGCUAGUAAUGAGAAGCCACCUGACACAGGGAGGAGGGUGGUUGCCCUCCUUCCAUAAUUGUCAAGGAUGGCCUCUCUAGGGUGUGAUGAGUGCUUAAGCUGGCAUCUCCUCAAUGCCCAACCAGCUACCCUUGAGACAAGAGCUUUGCAGUUACAUGCAAGGCCCUUGUUGUUUUGUCUAUCACUCCUGAGCUA